GACAGAGGUGCCGAGCGUUAGGCGGAAUCACUGGGCUUAAAGCGUGUGUAGGCGGGCGAUCAAGUACCUUGUGAAAUCCCACGGCUCAACCGUGGAACCGCUGGGUAUACUGGUUGUCUUGAGCCGGCUAGGGGCGAGCGGAACAGACGGUGGAGCGGUGAAAUGCGUAGAUAUCGGAAGGAACACCUGUGGCGAAAGCGGCUCACUGGACCAUUACUGACGCUGAGGCACGAAAGCUAGGGGAGCAAACAGG
rnacentral:rRNA from 1 species